rnacentral:sRNA from 1 species
UUAAGUAUAUUAAUAUUAAUUCAAUAAACCAUAAAAGCACACCAAACUAGGAUACACUUUUUUGGUCAAAAUCCAACUAGUAUAUUAGAUAUUGAAAAUAAACCGCAAAAAAAAACACUCGAUGUAGUAGUGCCGCCGUAUAUUAGAGGAUUGACUUAACAAUAAACAUAUUAACAUUUCGUUUUAAACAUAUUAAUAUCUAAGAUUGGCAAAUUGUUAAUAAUAAAUAAAUUGA